GGACGAACGCUGGCGGCGUGCCUAAUACAUGCAAGUAGAACGCUGAAGGAGGAGCUUGCUUCUCCGGAUGAGUUGCGAACGGGUGAGUAACGCGUAGGGAACCUGCCUGGUAGCGGGGGAUAACUAUUGGAAACGAUAGCUAAUACCGCAUAACAGUAGAUGUUGCAUGACAUUUGCUUAAAAGGUGCAAUUGCAUCACUACCAGAUGGACCUGCGUUGUAUUAGCUAGUUGGUGAGGUAACGGCUCACCAAGGCGACGAUACAUAGCCGACCUGAGAGGGUGAUCGGCCACACUGGGACUGAGACACGGCCCAGACUCCUACGGGAGGCAGCAGUAGGGAAUCUUCGGCAAUGGACGGAAGUCUGACCGAGCAACGCCGCGUGAGUGAAGAAGGUUUUCGGAUCGUAAAGCUCUGUUGUAAGAGAAGAACGAGUGUGAGAGUGGAAAGUUCACACUGUGACGGUAUCUUACCAGAAAGGGACGGCUAACUACGUG
rnacentral:rRNA from 1 species